AUUGAACGCUGGCGGCAUGCUUUACACAUGCAAGUCGAACGGUAACAGGCCUUCGGGUGCUGACGAGUGGCGAACGGGUGAGUAAUGCAUCGGAACGUACCCAGAGGUGGGGGAUAACGCAACGAAAGCUGUGCUAAUACCGCAUGUGAUCUGAGGAUGAAAGCGGGGGACCGAGCAGCAAUGUUUGGCCUCGCGCCUUUGGAGCGGCCGAUGUCGGAUUAGCUAGUUGGUGGGGUAAAGGCCUACCAAGGCGACGAUCCGUAGCUGGUCUGAGAGGACGACCAGCCACACUGGGACUGAGACACGGCCCAGACUCCUACGGGAGGCAGCAAUGGGGAAUUUUGGACAAUGGGCGCAAGCCUGAUCCAGCAAUGCCGCGUGCGGGAAGAAGGCCUUCGGGUUGUAAACCGCUUUUGGCAGGAACGAAACGGUGUCCGCUAAUACCGGGCGCUAAUGACGGUACCUGCAGAAUAAGCACCGGCUAACUACGUG
rnacentral:rRNA from 1 species